UACGUAGGGUGCAAGCGUUAAUCGGAAUUACUGGGCGUAAAGCGUGCGCAGGCGGUUCGUUGUGUCGGCGGUGAAAGCCCCGGGCUUAACCUGGGAAUGGCCGUUGAAACUGGCGAACUGGAGUGUGGCAGAGGGGGGUGGAAUUCCGCGUGUAGCAGUGAAAUGCGUAGAGAUGCGGAGGAACACCGAUGGCGAAGGCAGCCCCCUGGGCUAACACUGACGCUCAGGCACGAAAGUGUGGGGAUCAAACAGG
rnacentral:rRNA from 1 species